CAUAUGCGUUGUUAUACGAAAACAAGGGAAAAUAGAUAGGAAACAAGGAAAAGGGAUGGAAGUGAGAGGAAAGGGUACCGAGAAAGUGAGAGAAGAGGAAAUCCAGAGUUUUUCCAUUAUGAAAGAAUGAAAUGAUGAGAAUGCUUACUGACGCACAAUAACGCUACGCGCACAUUUUAGUAGUGCUUAAACAUACCCAUAUAAACUGUUAUUUUAUUAAUAAUAAUAAUAAUAUCGGAAGAAAAGUAGGGAAAAAAAUAAUAAUGGAUGCAUGUAUGGAAAUUUAAGAAACCAAUGCUACCAUUUGUUAACGAUGAAGAUGGCAUCCACCACUAGAACCCAUUUGUGGUAGAUCCAUACCAAGUUACAGGAGUCGGAAUGUGGUUUAUGGACUCUAACUUGACUUUUUCCAGGGGUUCUCCCCAUAGUAGAAAGCAGUUCCAACCAUAAGUGCAACAGUAGCUCCUUGGACCACCACCCUAGCUCUCAUUAAAAGCUGACCCAAUUGAGAAUUGCCUUGCCUGAAACUGAUUAAGCCAGCUGUAAGCACUCCAGCUGUCAUAAGCGCACCUGCAAUAUUUACAUAUAAUACAUAUCAGCCAAAAAGAGGCUAAAUGCCAAAGUGUUUUACGAUAUCAUACAUGCUAAUGGUAGCUUUAUCAUAAGCAAGAUUAAAUUUCAAGCUUUUGACAACCAGCUUGACCACCAUUGAGCUCAUGAGGCGAUUCAAGAAAAGAGUUGAGAAUGGAAUUGCAAGCCACAAGAACUUGCAAGCAGAUAAAAAAAAAAAAAUCCUGCAGCCAUUUAUGUCAUUCAAAAUCUACAUUAAAUCCACUGAUCAAACAACAUUCCUAUGCAUAACCCACUGUGGUUUCCAGGACAUUCCCUGAUUUACAUGCAAAGGAAAAAAGGAUAACUGCUCUCAUCUUUAAAAUAUUUGAUCAUUUUGGGAAUCAACCAACCAUGAUAAAAAUACUAGUGUAAGAUGUGACAAUGGAAUAUCCUAGUGUUUUUAACAUGAAUUGAAAUCCCCUCUAAUGCCAUUUUCAAAGGAGGUAGCAAGCAUCUUUUGCAUCCAGAGCACAUUUGCAACUGGCUCACAAAAAUAACCAUGCAAGCAUCUUACAUUCUUUUAUUAUCCGCUUACAUAACCUAUCAGGACUGGUAGCUUACUUAUCAAUCUGCAACAUUGUUCCUCUUUUCUCCCUUUUUCCCCCUUUAAUUAAUAAAAUCUUUCAAUUUGAUUAUUCAAGAAAAAUGAUAAGUUUGUCUUUCACAUCAAUGGCUCACUCCAACGCAUUUUCAUCACCAAAAUGUCUAAAUAUGUAUUGAGGAAUAUCGUUCUCACUAGCAAAAUGAGGGUAAAAAGGGAGAAAAGUCCAUUUUCUUCAAAAAAAAAGCAAAGAAAUAUUCAAAUUUCUCGGGACAAAAUCCAUUCUCAUAUCAGUAAUUCAUUUCCUUAUUUGCAAAUCUUCAAUUCAUAUGUAAAACUUAGAACUUGAAAACAUAACGUAAUGCAAUUUUUGUGAAGUAUUUUUGCUCAAACAAUUUGCUGUAGUGACUAGGUGCUACUUAUGCACAGCAAAAAAAAAAAAGCAUCAAAUCAUUCUAAAGUUGUGCUUCAAAUUGAGCAUAGGGUCACAUAGGAUCAUCUAAA
rnacentral:misc_RNA from 1 species